rnacentral:rRNA from 1 species
UACGGGGGGAGCAAGCGUUGUUCGGAUUUACUGGGCGUAAAGGGCGCGUAGGCGGUCAGCACAAGUCAGUUGUGAAAUCUCCGGGCUUAACUCGGAAAGGUCAACUGAUACUGUGCGACUAGAGUGCAGAAGGGGCAACUGGAAUUCUCGGUGUAGCGGUGAAAUGCGUAGAUAUCGAGAGGAACACCUGAGGUGAAGACGGGUUGCUGGGCUGACACUGACGCUGAUGCGCGAAAGCCAGGGGAGCAAACGGG